GAUGAACGCUGGCGGCGUGCCUAAUACAUGCAAGUCGAGCGAACAGACGAGGAGCUUGCUCCUCUGACGUUAGCGGCGGACGGGUGAGUAACACGUGGAUAACCUACCUAUAAGACUGGGAUAACUUCGGGAAACCGGAGCUAAUACCGGAUAAUAUAUUGAACCGCAUGGUUCAAUAGUGAAAGACGGUUUUGCUGUCACUUAUAGAUGGAUCCGCGCCGCAUUGGCUAGUUGGUAAGGUAACGGCUUACCAAGGCAACGAUGCGUAGCCGACCUGAGAGGGUGAUCGGCCACACUGGAACUGAGACACGGUCCAGACUCCUACGGAAGGCAGCAGUAGGGAAUCUUCCGCAAUGGGCGAAAGCCUGACGGAGCAACGCCGCGUGAGUGAUGAAGGUCUUCGGAUCGUAAAACUCUGUUAUUAGGGAAGAACAAAUGUGUAAGUAACUAUGCACGUCUUGACGGUACCUAAUCAGAAAGCCACGGCUAACUACGUG
rnacentral:rRNA from 1 species